CACCCUCUCGCUAACUGUGAAUUAGGCUCCUUCCUUUCAGCCUCGGGACCUAAUCACCCACCUAGGAGAACGCCCCAGUUCCUACAGCCUGUCUGGCUGCAGAAAACCCAGGCAGGACUCAGAGGGGGUGUGGUCAGGACCAAGCCUCCUGCACCCGCCAGAGGCACCGCUCCACCACAGAGGCACUGGGGAGCCCACCUGCUCCUCCAUCCGCGAGCCCUACAAAGAUCCGCCCCUGUCUCUCGGACGCAGGUGGCCCCACGGUGUCGGAAGUUCGCCGGGUGCACAGAAAGGUGGAACUGAAGAGUCCCCAGCGCCUGAGCCUGCCUGAAGCGGCUAAGACUCUGUCAAGAGCUAGAGAAGGAAUUCGACAAAGGACUGCCGGGUAGGGGUUAGGGCGUCACUGGCUCCCGAGAGACUACCGCUCCCCAGCUCAGGAGCCGCCUUCGCGCCUCGAUUCUGCCCAGCUGGAGGCAGAACCCGAACUCCAGCGAGGAGCCCUGGGUAGGGUUCCAGAAGACCGGGCCGAGGCUCAGCGCAGAGACUGACCCCGCCAGCCCAGAGCUCGCUACCAGGGCCCGCCUUAGCCCCAACCCUCGCUCCACCUGUCCCAGCUCGGGCGUCAGCCCGGCUCCAGGACUGACCUUCGCGGGAGAGUGCACCCCAAACGCAGCGCUUCACCCUACAGCACCAACUACAAAAAGUCUGCGAGGCACGCAAGACGCGCAGGCUGCCCUACCUGUCCGGCGACACACAGCAGGCACCAGACUCCAUCAGGAAAAACAAGCUGCACUUCCGAGCGGCAGGAACCUAUGACAGCUGCGUGGGGACGCGGUGAAUGGAGAGCCCCCAUCAUGCACAACCAGCCCAAGGGAUGGGUUCCAAGUGACUAACUUCCUUGCUUGUCUUCCUGUCCGAUGGGUUCCCGAGGGCAAGCUAGGGCGCCCCCUUUUCUGGUCUGGGCCAUGUUCUUACUGCGCUCGGGCAUUUUCUGUAACAGCAUAGGGCCUCGCUGCAGUUCUCUGCAUUGGGACCCAGGUUCAUUGCUUCCUGAAUAUCUGGGGCUUCCAAAGCAUCUUUUUAAAGAAAGUAAAAUCCCACACCCUCCUUCCAACUGUCUUCCAGAACUCUCCACCCCUCUGCACACUUGGCAGGAAAGCUGGAAGAGGCGGGGAGCUGGCCCCACUUCAAUAAACUCCGAACGAUAAGGGGAUCAGCAAGGCGCACAUGAAAUCACUUUUGUGAGGUUCCCACGUGUGCGCAUUGGGAGGAUCCCAGCACAGAAUGAAGGCGCCGCCAUAGUAACCAUUCAUUUAGUGCACAUAUUCCUAUGCUGAAACAUUGUAGGCCCUCAGCACCUGAGAGGGACUCGGAUCCUGCCCAUGUUGACUGGGCAAACGAACCAGACACAAACUGCUGAGAAUUACAGGCAAAGUCAGGGCAGAAGAACCUAUAGGAAGCGAAUGCUACAAACUCCAACAUCAGUGUUUGUGUCCAGAAUGGGUAAAAGAGACUGUUUCUCAGAAAUCAUGUAUAUACUCAUAUACAUUAUCUACUGAGUAUCAAAGAUCAUAAGAAAAAAUCAGAAGUGGAAAACAAAAUCUACCUUUGAGCUUAGUAUAUCAAAGUUUAAAAGGUCAAAAUAUUUUAGAGAUCCUUUUGUGAAGGAGUUUUGGGUUAGGUUUUCAUUUUGAAUUGGUAAAGAGGAAAGGGCAAGACAUCUUGAAAAAUGAACAAACUUACAAAAGAGAACAAAGACCCCAGAGGCUGGGAGCAGGCAAGUGUUCUGUGCUGCUAGGAUGACUGAGCCACACGUUUACCAGAAAAGGUGGAAGCUGGGCUUGGUGGGAAGGUGGUCCCAACAUGUCAUGUGGUAGUCCUGGGCGCAGGUACCUGCAGCACCAGGCUGGAAGGAAAAUGGUACGUGGGUGGCAAGCAGCAGUGCUAGGCAACCUUAAAUUAAACCUUCAAUCAACCCACAAGAUAGGUGUAGAUUAUCCCAACUUGGCAUACAAGACUCCUGAAGCUCAAUAGCUGCACUGCUAGAAUUGGAACCAGGCGCUGGAGCAACAGAAUUUCAGGUCUGGAGGGAAGCUGUAGCCCAACUACAUACUCCCAACCCCCAUUCCCUCAGCAAAUUUGGCUAUCCAGUCCAAAAGCUACACCUUUAUGUGUACAUGGAGAAUAAACUAAGGCCUAGGAAAAUUAAGUGACAUGUCCUAUGUCUCUCUUAAGAGGCAGGUGAACGCCUUCCUACCUCAUAUAGUAGGGAAGAGUGAGUUGCUUCUGUUCCUUGAACAAUGCAGUAACCAGAAAAAAAGUUAAAGCUAAUUCAUAGACAGCCAAUUGAGUAGAAAGUCCAAAAUGAGAGAGAACAGCUAAUGGAGUUCCUGCCAUACCCCAGCCAUCCAAUGAUAAAGGCUCCAUUCCAGGAUUUUCUGACAGGUGGAGAACAAAGUGUUGGGAGAGCCUGGUAGAAGGCAGGCAGGCAGGCGUUGUUUGUUCUCAUACAACAUGAGACAAUGACUCCCUCCUAACCACAUCUCCACACCAGGGACCCAACUCCAGAUCUCUUGGGCUGACACCAGACCCAAAUGUUAGCUAAUAGUCUGGUUUGUUGCUCAUUGUUUGCUUUAAAAUCAGUAAGCUUUUAAACUGUGCCUCAUCGAUUCAUUCAAAGAAUGACUGAAUGAGAAGGAAGAAAGUAUACUCAUUAUCCACUGAAGAUCAAGUUUCCUUGAUUCUGCAUAAAAUGCAGGGUGGAUGCCUUAAAACAGAUGUCUUCAUCUACUUCAUGGAUUAAUAACCUCAUUGUGACACCAGGACAAAGAAAUGUAACAUUACUCUGGUCCUGGAAUCUGCACGAUGGCUCCACUGAUGGCCCUUUGCCUCAGCCCAGUCCCAAUCUUGCCAGAGCCUCUGCACUAGACUGCCAGCCCUACCAUCUGAGAUUGGCAACACAAUAAUGUUUUGACCACCUCAAGCCAGACCCCUUACAGAAUGAUUCUUUUCUUUAAAAAAAAAAAAAAACUAUUUGUUUAUCUAUUUGAAAGGCAGAGUUUCAGACAGAGAGAGGGAGAGACAGAGAGAGAGGUCUUCCAUCCGCUGGUUCACUCCCCAAAAGGCUGCAAUGGCCAGAGCUAUGCCGGUCCAAAGCCAGGAGCCAGGAGCUUCUUCUGGGUCUCCCACACAGGUGCAGGGCCCAAGGACUUGGGCCAUCUUCGACUGCAUUCCCAGACCAUAGCAGAGAGCUAGAUCAGAAAUGCAGCAUCCAGGACUGCAAGCAGUGGCCUACCCGCUAUGCCACAGCACCGGCUCCUAAAGCAUUGUUGUAUUGGGACAUGACAGUACAAGAUUCUCCCUGUUGACCUCAGUAUCCAUUCUUCUCCAUUAUGGCUCAGGCUUUUCCUCAGUCUGUUUUUUCUUCACUUUUCUCCCUAUUCCUUUUUAUUCACCAUCCUUUUCUUUUUCUCAUGUCUACCACUAGGCAAUAACACUUUUUCAAUACCCUAACCUCCCUUGCCCUUUGGUCUUUUCUUCAAAAUGAACACAGUUGCCUUCUUUUUCAUUACCUAUCCUAUGGAGCCAAAACUGCAAGGGAAAGCCACAAAACAGGACAGAUAAGUACCACCACAAUAUUUUCUUCACCAGCCUCAAGUGGAUUCUAACAUUGCCCAUCAGUCUACCUGUUUCUGGGGUCAAUUCAUGCUCAUACCAUCCCACCCUAUGCAAUGAGGAUUUCAAGCCUUCUCCACUUUCCCCAUACCUCCAUUCCUGCUAUCUUUCAACAGACAGGCAAAGCUCUAGAUUUCUUAGAAAGUCAAAUCAGUCAAAUGGGAAUAAUUUCUAUUUUUACUUUUUAUGACCCAGUCUAGUCAUAUCUACAACAAUCACUGACCCCCUUUUUAUUUGCUUUAUAAGAUGAGUCCUUCUAUAGUUUUCUGGAUCUAAUACUUUCUUGAAUUCAACUAGGAAAGAAAUUUACAAUAAUUUUUCUCUGUGCUGUAGAUUCAAUAUUUACUGAUAAGCUAUAUCUGACAGUGCUCAAGCCUCUCAUGCAUAAAUAAACAGAGAUCACCUUUC